rnacentral:lncRNA from 1 species
GCUAGGGCAAACAAGAGGCAUUUCCAGGUUCAGGGAGCACAGGGGAUGCAUUUUCUCCAGGGUUGCAGGAUUAGGGUAGGUGCAGUGCUGGGAGGGCACGGGGUCGCCUUUUCCUUUGUCUGGAGAAAGUUUCUCUGCACUCCGUGACACCGUCUAACUCCACUCUCUUUUGCGGUUUCAUUGCCUCGUUCCAAAGCGAUUGCACAGGCAAAAGUGUCCAAAAGCAGAUGGAUCCGCUAAGCAUUUCUUUGUUGCACAUUAUCUCAUACAGUUUGGGUGUAAUAAAACUUCUAGGCAGAACAAAUCUUCAAGCUUGUGCCGUGCCUUAUUUUUAGCUGCGAAGUACGUCUGUUUUAGUGCUCCUAAUCCCUGGCUUGGUUGUAAUUUAUGGAGCAAACUCUUGGCUCGGUUGGGCCAGAAGAUUUGUAGUAAAAUUUUUAUAAGUUGCAGAGAUGAAGCCCAUGGACUCUCGCAGUCUCAGGGGACUCUCCUCCAGAAUUGUGUUUUGCUGAGCACUCCCUCGGUGUGGGAGUAUGCUCGGGCGAGAAAGCAUCAGAUGGCUGGGAAUAAAUCGUCCCUGCUAUCAUCACAACCUGCAAAUCACCUGGAAGGAGACACCAAGGGAGUCCACGGCUUCCCCACCCGCAGAGAUGUUGGGGACAAAUUUAGGAGAGUCCCAGCUGGUCAGGACCUGCCUGCCCCAGGCUGGUGCAUGGCAGGACUUGGGGAUGACCCAGGCCAUGGGCUGUGCCAGGCGGUGAGAUGCCUGUGCUGCAGGAGGAUGGCUCACUGGCACCAUUACACUGGUUUUGCUGGGAUUUUUGGGAUGACUGGCUGCUCAGUCCGGCAGGGAAGCCUGCUUGAAGCUUUUAGCACAAACAGGGCUGGGGCUUAGGGGUGAGGGCAAUAGUGGGAUCCGCACAUGGGCACCACCAGAAACCUCCAGAUCCCAGCCAAAAUAUGGUCCCACAGCUGUGCCCCACCCAAGGCUUUUCUGCAGCAUCUGACUUGCCUUUC